rnacentral:rRNA from 1 species
UGGGAAACUGCCUGAUGGAGGGGGAUAACUACUGGAAACGGUAGCUAAUACCGCAUAACGUCGCAAGACCAAAGAGGGGGACCUUCGGGCCUCUUGCCAUCGGAUGUGCCCAGAUGGGAUUAGCUAGUAGGUGGGGUAACGGCUCACCUAGGCGACGAUCCCUAGCUGGUCUGAGAGGAUGACCAGCCACACUGGAACUGAGACACGGUCCAGACUCCUACGGGAGGCAGCAGUGGGGAAUAUUGCACAAUGGGCGCAAGCCUGAUGCAGCCAUGCCGCGUGUAUGAAGAAGGCCUUCGGGUUGUAAAGUACUUUCAGCGGGGAGGAAGGGAGUAAAGUUAAUACCUUUGCUCAUUGACGUUACCCGCAGAAGAAGCACCGGCUAACUCCGUGCCAGCAGCCGCGGUAAUACGGAGGGUGCAAGCGUUAAUCGGAAUUACUGGGCGUAAAGCGCACGCAGGCGGUUUGUUAAGUCAGAUGUGAAAUCCCCGGGCUCAACCUGGGAACUGCAUCUGAUACUGGCAAGCUUGAGUCUCGUAGAGGGGGGUAGAAUUCCAGGUGUAGCGGUGAAAUGCGUAGAGAUCUGGAGGAAUACCGGUGGCGAAGGCGGCCCCCUGGACGAAGACUGACGCUCAGGUGC